rnacentral:lncRNA from 1 species
UAGACAGAUCGGGUACAUGCGAUGCCAUACUGGGGCAUAUUUCCCUCAUUUAGCCGGGGAGGCUAUCGUUCUCUCACAGAUCCUUUAUAGUUUCCAUCCCUCAACCGGGGUAUAUUAUAUUUGCCUUACUGAUCGCUAUUCUUGUGAUUUUUGUCUAGGUGAGCUUUCAGUGGAGCACGAUGUUCGGGUUUGGAUCGCCCCAUUAGCCAGGACUAUUCAGUAGAUUGUUAUGUCGAGAUCAUGGUGUGUCUCUUACCAGACUACCCUCUGAGACUAUCGAAUUAUCCAUUUGGAAUGACGAUAGAUUCUUCUGGCAGAGCAUUAUGAGUUAGAGGAGUUCGACUUAUUGCGACACUCUGACAGACCUUGUGAUUUCGUUGGGAAGGUUGAGAGACCAUGUUCACAGUCGAUUCGAUUAUCCCGACUUGCUAGUAGAGCAUUGUUCGGGACCUAUGGAGUCCUUUUCAGACCCUUCUAGCGGAUCAAGAUUUGCAGCGUCAUGCCACACUGGGGCAUAUUUCCCCCUCAUCAUUUUCUUGCAGUUUGGCGUUCAGAGCCAUCGUUCAUUCGUGGUUUACGACAUUCGGAGUCAUCAUGUCACACUUUCAGCUCGACGUUCAGAGCCACCGUCGUUUCUCAGAUUGGCGUUCAGCGUCAUUGCAUCAUCCAUUCCGGCGUUCAGAGCCACAUCUUCGUUUUGGCGUUCAAAGCCAUUGCCUACUUUCGUUUUGGCGUUCAAAGCCAUUGCAUAUUUUCGUUCGGCGUUCAGAGCCAUCGUUAUCACUUCUUAGUUUUGACAUUCAAAGCCAUCAUCACAUCUUCGUUCGGCGUUCAAAGCCAUUGUUAUCACUUCUUAGUAUCAGUGUUCAAAGCCAUCCUCAUCGCAUUUUCGGUUUCGACAUUCAACAUCACCAUCACUUCCUAGUUUAACGUUCAGAGUUGCAUUCCCGAUUUUGGCGUUCAGAGCCAUCAUCACAUCUUCGUUCGGCGUUCAGAGCCAUCGUUAUCACUUCUCAGUAUUGGUGUUCAGAGUCAUCCUCAUCGCAUUUUGGUUUCGGCAUUUAGCAUCGUCGUCACUUCUUAAAUUGAUGCUCAAAGUCGUAUUUUCAGUUUUAGCGUUCAGAGCCAUCACUGUCGCAUUCUCGAUUUCGGUGUUCAGAGUCGUCAUCACUUCCUAGUUUGACGUUCCGAUUUACGUUCCCGGUUUCAGCGUUCAAAGCCAUCAUCGCAUCUUCGUUCGGCAUUCAGAGCCAUCACUCAUCAAUAUCAAUGUUCAGAGCUAUCCUCGUCGUAUUUUUAGUUUCGACAUUCAAAGCCAUCAUUACUACUCCUCAGUUUGAUGUUCAGAGUCGUAUUCUCGUCAGGAAUUCAAAGCCAUUAUGUCAUUCAUUCCGAAGUUUGGAGCCAUGUUUUGCUUUGUUCGGCGUUCAGAGCCAUUAUCCACUUUCGAUUCGAUGUUUAGAGCCACUGCAUAUCAUUCGUUUCUGCGUUCAGAGCCACAUCUUCAUUUCAGCGUUCAGAACCAUUAUUUGUUUUUUUUUUUUUUAUUUAGUGUUCCGAAUCGUGGUUUUAGUUCGACACUCAGAGUCCUCGUGUAUAUAUUUCGUUCUAUCCAUCACUAUUUUCCUCCUUUCUAGCUUUUAGAGCCAUUAGACACGCUCUUUCAGACCUUUUGAGUCAUCUAUUUUCUUAGUUUUGAUGUUCGGAGCCAUCGUUAUCACUCCUCAGUUUGAUGUUCAGAGUCGUAUUCUCGUCAGGCAUUCAAAGCCAUUAUGUCAUUCAUUCCGGCGUUUUAGAGCCAUUGCCUACUUUCGUUUCGGCGUUCAAAGCCGUGUUUUCAUUUUUGCAUGGCGUUUAAAGCCAUUGUCCACUUUCGAUUCGGUGUUCAGAGCCACUGCAUAUCGUUUGUUUCGGCGUUCAGAGCCGUGUUUUCAUUUCUGCAUGGUGUUCAGAGCCGUUGCCUAUUUUCAGUUUCGGCGUUCAGAGCCAUGUUUAGUUCGUUUCGGCGUUUGGAGCCAUCGUUAUCACUCCUCAGUUUGAUGAUCAGAGUCGUAUUCUCAUCAGGCGUUCAAAGCCAUUACGUAAUUCAUUCCGGCAUUUCAGAGCCAUCAUCCCAUCUUCGUUCGGCAUUCAGAGCCAUCACUUAUCAGUAUCAAUGUUCAGAGCUAUCCUCGUCAUAUUUUCAGCUUCGGCGUUCGGAGCCAUCGUUAUCACUCCUCAGUUUAAUGAUCAGAGUCGUAUUCUCAUCAGGCGCUCAGAGCCAUUACGUCAUUCAUUCCGGCAUUUCAAAGCCAUCAUCGCAUCUUCGUUCGGCAUUCAGAGCCAUCACUCAUCAAUAUCAGUGUUCAGAGCUAUCCUCGUCGUAUUUUCAGUUUCGACGUUCAAAGCCAUCAUUACUACUCCUCAGUUUAAUGUUCAGAGUCGUAUUCUCGUCAGGCGUUCAGAGCCAUUACGUCAUUCAUUCCGACGUUUGGAGCCAUGUUUUGCUUCGUUCGGCGUUCAGAGCCAUUGUCCACUUUCGAUUCGGUGUUCAGAGCCACUGCAUAUUGUUCGUUUCGGCGUUUAGAGUCACAUCUUCGUUUCAGCGUUCAGAACCAUUAUUUGUUUCUUUUAUUAUUUAUUUAGUGUUCCGAAUUGUGGUUUUAGUUCGACACUCAAAGUCCUCAUGUAUAUCUUUCAUUCGAUCCAUCACUAUUUUCCUCCUUUCUGGCUUUUAGAGCCAUUGGGCACGCCCCUUCGGACCUUUUGAGUCAUCUAUUUUCUUAGUUUGACGUUUAGAGCCACUGUUCUAUUCGAUGUUUGGCGCCCCUACCACAUUUUUCUCUUAGUUUGGCGUUCAGAGCCGUUUUUCAUACCCAUUUAUGCAUUUUGAGUCAUCACCUUUCUUAGUUUUGACGUUCAAAACCAUUGUUCUGUUUGGCACCCAAUACCACCGUCAUUCGUUAGUUCGGCGUCCAGAUCCAUUGUACACAUCCAUUUGAAGACCUUGAGUCACCAUCCUUCCUUAUUUUGACGUUCUAAGUCACCUCUCCUCGACUGUAUCAUUCAGGAUCACAGUCCCUGACAUUCAUAUUCGCUAGCAUUACACAUCUUGCCUUCAUGGCUUUGCAUCUAUCCUCGUCUUCCUCACCGCAUUACCCUGUGCUUAUCGCUUAUUCGUCAUUGCUCUUCUGGAUUUCUCUUUUUAUUGCUCAUGACGUAGUCCUCUGAGUCUACGACGCAUACUUCGGUUAUGUCGUUAGGCGCCAUACGCUUGGCACUUCCAUGUAGUUCUCUUAGGGCAGUCCUCUCGAGGCAUAUUCGUUCUUGUACUCCGAGUCUUUCUUUGGAGAAGUCUUAGAGAGAGUCUGGGUCUUUGGUGCGGCUUCAGAGGCGCUUCGAGAGAUCCACUCUCCUUUUAGGAUUUUAAGACUCUUUCUAUACCCCUGAUGGUCCAGCUGAGUUUGUGUUCUAUGUGUAUACCUUUAGGGGUCUCUCUUUUUCUUCGAAUAGAGUUCACUUCGUUACACUCAUUACUCACACUCGCUUUUCACUCCAGUGUUCACAUUCCUUACACCCGUGAGCUCUACCGAAGAGGGGCAUAUUUGUAGACCCCUUUUGUCCGCCUUUGCUCCCGGGAAAUCAGCUGCAUGGGCAUGGCAGGGGCCAUGCUGGUGGUUGAGGAGGCCAUGCCUGCUGAUGGAGGAAUAGUAGGGCAAGUAAUGGCUUGCCAAGGAAGAUAGAAACAGGAGAGAAACAGAGUAAGGGUGAGAGGCGGGUGUAGAGAGCUUUAGGGAGGAGGUUCUCUGAGUUAGAGGAGUUUCCUUUCAUGGGAGGGCUAAGAACAGAAGAGAGGAGAGUUUAGCUUGAGAGGACUAGUGGGAAAGAGGUAUUCCGUGGCUGGUUGCUUGAGAGGAAGGAUAGUUGUCCGAUUUCUUGCCCACCUAGCUGGAGAGAAUUAUUUUGAGCGCAUUGCUCGUUCGUGGCCCAAGUAUGCGUCCACCCCUAUUCUGGUCAUUCUCUAUUGCAUGUUUCGAUUCCCAUAUGUGCCUAAUCAAUUUGAGUAUUCAUUGAUUUUCCUAUUGAUUGUCAUGUCAGCUUCAUUUUAUUAGUAGAGACCCGACUUUAGGGACUUAGAGGGGUGCUACGGUCUUUACCGUACCUUCCCAAUAAGCAACCUGGCCCCCGAGCCCGAUCCGGUUUUUCGUAGAUUACCUUUUCCAAAAUAAGGAGUCACACUUAGGGUUUUCUUUCUUAUUUUGUUACCCUUUAAAAAUAAAACAAAAAUAAGUGGCGACUCCAAGUCAAUUUGUCUUAAUCAAUAAAAUCAUUUUUCAAAAUCAAAAUCGAGCUCGCCAUCAAGUGGGAAACGCAUGAGUCGAAAUGCGAGGUCCACACUAUUAUACAAUGAAAAAAAAUGUUAGGAAGAGUUUAUUUCCACACAUUCAUUUGAGAAAAAAAAAAAAAAAAAAAAGAAAAACCAUAAAUUAGUAACCUAAAUUUGUAAAAUCCAAACUUCAUAUAUCUAUAUAAAAAUAAUUAGGAUUUUAUAUAUUUUUUUAUUAAAGGUACUAUCUUUGACCAUUCUAGGUACUACUUUUGAUUGAUAAGUGCAUAAAAUUAGAAUUAUUUUUAGAAGCUUCUUAUUUUGGGUUUUUUUAGAUAAAUAUAUGAAAACACGUUUUUCUUAAAAUGUUAUCUUCUAUCAUAAGAUAGAUUGACAACUAUUAAAACUGAAGUUCCAAUCUAAAUAUAAUAACUAUAUUUCAUAAGCUAAUUGUAUGUUACUCUCAACUUUACUAGAUUGAAAGCUUGAAUAGAUAUAAGUGAAAUCUUUGUUAUAAAUCUUUCUCAUGUUAUGAUCUUAAAAAUAAAUGAAAAAUAUUAAUGAAUUACAAUUCAAAAUUUUAUACCUAUGUGUCAAUUGACAUAUAAAGAAAUUAGAUAUUAUGAAUUGAAAGUUUGAAAUAUUAAAUUAUAAUAAGCAAAAAUCAACAGUUUGCAUAUGUCAAACUCUUCUUUUUAAACUCUUUUCAAUUACAUUAACUCAUCUUUUUUUUUUUUUUUUUGCACUAUCAAGACUAUAAUAACUAUUGAAACUACCUUGAUAUUGUAACAUUACACGUUAUAAUAUCUUAUUCUAGUGAUACGAUAGGACUUAUUAGCAGUUUGUACAAUGUUCUAGUUUAAUAAAAGCAUUUGAUACUAUCACAACAUAGUUUGCAAAUGUUUCCAUUGUAACAUCAUAUGUCAUUCAAAAUAAUUCUAUUUUGAAAUGUUCAUAUUUAGGUUUAAUUUACAUCAUCUUCCCAUGCACAUUCUUGGCAUCUAACUUUUUCUUAAAUAUAAAUUAUAUAAUGAAUAAUAAUUCAUUUAUAUCUAUGAGGACAUUAUGUUUUGUUUUUGUUAUUGACAAUUUUGUUCUUUUUCAUUUUAGUACAAGAUCUUUUUAAAUAGUGACUUACUCUUUAUUGAACAUUUGAGGUUGUCAUUUAAUCAAUCAGACCAUCACAUGUAAGUUUGAAAAGAUUUGAGUAAACAAAAGUUAGUUUUUUUAUAAGGUAAGGUUAGAUAAAAAGUUUUAAAAUUAAGUUAAAAUGUUUUAAUUAAUUUUUGGAAAGUUAAGAUUUAUUUUUUAAGAAAAUUAAAAUGUAUUAAUUAAUUUUUGGAACAUUGAGAUUUUAUUAUUUUUUAAGAAAAUUAUGUUUCUAAUCAUCUAGGCUCUUAGGCCUAUAUAUGUCCUACCUAAAUGCUUUCUAGAGUUGAAUGCUUCCAAAAAUAAAAAAUAAAAAAUAAAAGAUAAAAAUCCUAACUUGUCCUAUCAUUCCAAAAAACUUUUAGAGGGUUUAAUUUGGUAAAAAAUCUCUUCCCCUAUAUUAUAAUUUUUAAAAAAUCACUCAUUCACACUUCUCUAGGUGUUAUCCUACCGGAUCCUAAAUUUUUCAAUAUCUAUUUUGUAUAUGAAUAAUACUUAAAUAUAAUGUCAUGUCUUAUAUGUAGCAUUUUUUUUUUUUUGUGACAUCUUGUGGAUCAAUUUAUAUAUUGAAUUAAAUUAUGUAGAUAAUGCAAGUUUAUGACGUUUUGUCAUAAAAAAAAAUAAAAAAAAAUGAAAAUUCAUAGAUAUCAUGGUAGAGGAAGUUAAAAAAAGGGAAUAUGAGAAGUGAAGUACUAAUAUAUAUAUAACCAUGGACCCCGUAUUUUUCACAUGCGUUCCCACUCGAUAGCGUGACUCACUUUUUAUUUAUUUUGUGAAAAUUCGAUUUUUUUUAAAAAAAAAAAAACUAUGAGUCGUCACUUAUUUUUGUUUUAUAUUUAAAGGAUAAACAAAAUAAGAAAGAAAACCCUAAGUGUAACUCCUUAUUUGGAAAAAUGUGGUAUGUGAAAAACCAAAUAUGGACUCAAGGUUCAUAUUACUUAUUGGGAAGGUACGGUAAAAACCGUAACAUCCUUCUAAGUCCUUAAAAACGAGUCUCUACUAAUGAGAUGAGGCAAGUAUGACAAUUGAUUGAUCAAACAUAGAUACCGAAUGAAUAUCAAUCAAAACAAGAUAACUGAAUGAACAAGAGAGACGAGGAGUGUACCUAAGUAAUGAGUCGAUUUACUUCAUGGAAAACAAAGGUUAGUAAACAAACACGGAAUAAUAGCAUGCAUGUCAUAGAGUGGAAUAAGUCAAUCAUGUAUAGCAAUCAAUCAAUCAAUGAGGAAAUCGCAUAUAUUGGGCCCUCACCAAGGCUCAAUUUAUUUUACAUGAAUUAAUCUCACAAAUUCCAUUACUUUUGAAAUUAUGAAAAAAUCGUUCAUGCUUAUUAAAAAUGGUGAAAAAUGAGAAAAUUAUUAAAAAACCAAAUAAAAUCACACGAUGCAUGUUUGAAUAAAAAAAAAAUGAUAGCAAGUUUAUUAAAAAAAUUAGGUUUUGGUGAAUCAGGAUUUUAAUAAAGAAAAGAAAAAGAAAGAAAAGAGAAAAUAACAACAACAACAACAACAACAACAACAACAACAACAACAAUAAUAAUAAUAAUAAUGGCAAAUAAAUAAAUAAACGAAUAAAAUAAAGUAAAAUAAUAAGAUAAAUAAAUAAGUAAUUAUAUGAAAGAUGAAUAAAUAAAAUAAUUAAAUUAGGUGGAUAAACAAAUUAAAUAAAUAAAUUUAAAAGAUUUAAAACCAUUUGAAAGACAAAUUUUUGAAAAUCAAGUUUUGAAACUUAUUUGAAAAUUGAAGUUUUAAGAACUAAAUUCGAAAAAUUGGAAUUUUAGAAAAAUAAUUUAAAAUUGGAAGUCAUGAAAGCUAGAACUUGGAAAAAUUAUUUGGGGAUGAGAUUUCUUAAAAAUUAAAUAUAAAAAUUGGGAUUUUGAAAAAUUAUUUGGAAAUUAAGUUCGAAAAAUUAAAUUUGAAAAUUGAAUUUUUGAAAAUUAUUUACAAGAAAUUGGAGUUCCCAAAAUUGAAUUUAAGAAUUGGAAUUUUAGAAAUUAAAUUUGAAAAUCAAAGUUUCGAAAGUUAAACUUAAGAAUAAGAGUUUUGAAAAUUAAAUUGAAAAUUAAUUCUAGAAGUUGAACUUUGAAAGAUUAUUUGAAAACUAAAAUUUUGGAGAAUUAUUUAAGAAUAGAUUUUUUAAAUAAAUAAAUGAAUAAAUAAAUAAAUAAAUAAAUAAAAUAAUAAUAAUAACGAAAUUAAUAAUGAUUAAAUAAAUAAAUGUGAAAAUUGGAAUUUUGAAAAAUUAUUUAAAGAUGGAAUUUUAAAAAAUAAAUAGAUAAAUGAAUAAAUAAAAUAAUAAUAACGAAAAUAAUAAUGAUUAAAUAAAUAAAUGUGAAAAUUGGAAUUUUGGAAAUUGGAAAUUAAAUUUGGAAAUCAUAAUUUUGAAGAAUUAUUUAAAGAUGAAAUUUUAAAAAUAAAUAGAUAAAAUAAUAAUAACGAAAAUAAUAAUGAUUAAAUAAAUAAAUGUGAAAAUUGGAAUUUUGGAAUUUGGAAAUCAGAAUUUUGAAGAAUUAUUUAAAGAUGGAAUUUUAGAAAUAAAUAAAUGAAUAAAAUAAUAAUAGCGAGAAUAAUAAUGAUUAAAUAAACAAAUGUGAAAAUUGGAAUUUUGGAAUUUGGAAAUCAGGAGAAUGAAAUUUUUGAAAUUUUGAUUUGAAAGGAAUUGGAGUUUCGAAAAUUUAUUUGAAUGUGGCAUUUUAAAAAAUUAAAUUUGGAAUUGUGGAAUUUUUGAAAAUUUAAAUUUAAAAUUUUGAAUCUAGGAAAAUUAAAUUUAAAAUUAGAAUUUUAGAAAAUUAUUUCGAAAAUUGAAUUUUGAAGAAUUAAAUUUAAAAUUUGGAGUUUUGGAAAAUUAAAUUUUGAGAAUUAAAGUUUUGUAAACUAAAUUUAAAAUUAGAUUUUAGAAGAUUAUUUCAGAAAUGGCAUUUUUUUAUAAAAAAAUAAAAAAUAAUAAAAAAUAAAUGAAUGAAUAAAUAAAUUUGGAACUUUAGAAUUUUAGGAGAUUUUAAAGAGUUAUUUGAGAAUAAAAAAAAAAAGAAUAAACAAAAUAAAUAAAGAAAUAAAGCUUUUAACAUUAAAAGUUUUUUUUAAAAAAAAAUAGAUGAUAUUUUAAACAUUAAAUUUGGAAUUUUGGAAUUUUUGGAAAACUUUGGGAAAUUUUGAGAAUGGUAGUCUAGGAAAAUUAUUUGAAAAAUGGAAUUUCGGAAAAUUGAAUUUUAAAAAAUGAAACUUUGGAAAAUUAUUUCGAGGAAAUUUUGGAAAAUUUAAAAAAUUGGAACUUUGGAAAAUUAUUGAAAAAUGAAAUUUGGGACCUUUAAAAAGAAUUCUAAAAGAUGAAAAAUUGUGGAGUCAAAACAAGAUUUUUUGAAAACCAAUUUUUUUAUAAAAGCAUGCAUGAAGAUUAUCCCAAUCAAACUCAUCUCAUAUACUACCAAUACUCACAACCCAUUGCAUGUACUACCAUAGAGCACCACAAACCCAUUUUUUUUACAUGAAAAAAAACAAACACCACAUGCUGCCACCUCCCCACCUAACCGCCAUUCUCACCACCAUGCAUGUUAAGCCCGUCCAUUUGCUUCAAACUUCUUUCACACCCUCCAUAUUUCUACACCCAUUGCCGCAACAAAGCCUACCAUGGCGGGCCUACCGUUGAUCCUCUCCGAUGUCGGCCCAUUAAAUGCGAAUGCAUCCCCAAAUUUGGUGCUCACCUUGGGCGCGGGAAGAAGAGGAGGAGGGAUUGGUUGAGGUAGCUAUGAGAGUGAGGGUGGCUGCUAGGGGUUGGUCAUGUCAGGUGGUGGUUGUUCGCUAGAGGAAACAACUUCUGAUCUUGCUUAUGGGGAGGCAUGGUUAAAUUUGAUGAGCAUGGAGGAUGAAAAAAAUGGGAAUGGAUUCGGUACCCACUGCAUGUACUACCAUAGAGCACCACAAACCCAUUUUUUUUACAUGAAAAAAAAUAAACACCACAUGCUGCCACCUCCCCCACCUAAUCGCCAGUCUCACCACCAUGCAUGUUAAGCCCUUCCAUUUGCUUCAAACUUCUUUCACACCCUCCAUAUUUCCGUACCCAUUGCCGCAACAAAGCCUACCAUGGCAAGCUUGUCAUUGAUCCUCUCCGAUGUUGGCCCAUUAAAUGCGAAUGCAUCCCCAAAUUUGGUGCUCACCUUGGGCGCGGGAAGCAGAGGAUGAGGGAUUGGUUGAGGUGGCUAUGAGAGUGAGGGUGGCUGCUGGGGGUUGGUCGUGUCGGGUGGUGGUUGUUCGCUAGAGAAAACAACUUCUGAUCUUGCUUGUGGGGAGGCAUGGUUAAAUUUGAUGAGCAUGGAGGAUGGAAAAAAUGGGUAUGGAUUCGGUGGGUAUAAAGAUGAGAGUAUGGAUGGUGAAAGAUAACCACAUAUGCAUGAUUCCUACGCAUAUGGGUAGUGAAUGAAUAACGGGGCAGCAGGUUGGGUGUGAAUGAGGUUGAAGUUGGGAGUGUGGUGAAAGAGGUGAUGAGCUAAAUGUGGGAUGUGGGUAUGGGAGAGGCUUAGCUGCAAAAACCGGAAAUAAGUUGGCCAUACCCAUGCAUGGCUCCUAUGUGCGCGGGUAGGAAAUGGAUAUUUGAAAGACGGAAGGGGGGAAAGAGAUGGGAUCAGCUACUGAAAUGAGAAAAAUGCAGUAAGCCUUGCCACUUUUGUGGAGUCCAUCCCCAUGAAGAAAUAAAUCAAUCUCAGUUUUGGUUGGCAAAGAAGGAGAGAUGGCCACCCAUUCCAUAUCCUCCUACUCAGCAACUUGGCUAUUAACAAUAUUGCUCCACUAUCAACAAGAAACAGAGCAGUGAAUAGAGAAUAAUGAAAACGGAAACAAACAAAGUGAGGAUUCAGCUCUAUGUCAUGGACUGUCAAAAAGCUAGGAGCAAGUGGAAUCCGGAGGAAAUAAAAGCAUGGUUUUGAUACAUCAAGUUAUGGGAAGGAACAAAGCAUCCAAUAUUUUCAAGAGAAGUAAAAAACACCCAAAAUAAAUCUGAAAUAGAGCAUGCAUACCCAGAGUCCCACAAAACAAACGAGUGGCCUAUAAUAUCCACACCAAUCAACAAACCAAAUACCCAGAAGAAUAACGAAAACAAUAGUUAAUCCAUGUGGAAAUGAGAAAUGAGGAGGUCACGAAUAGGCAUACCUGGAAUGUUCCUUUCAAGUAAAGAGUGGGUUGGCUUCCAACUCUCCUCUCUUAGCUCUUUCUUCUAUCAAAACCCUCUCAGGCUCCUCCCCUCUCACUAAAACUCUCUCUCUAUCAUCUUUCUGUCCCAUUUGGCCGCCAAAAAAAAAAAAAAAAAAAACCAGCUCACCCAUCAGUCCCAUGGCCACCCAAUAUAGCUCACUCAUCCGCCUUUUUUUUUUUUUUUACCUUCAAUCCCCUUUGGCUGCCCAAGAACAACUCCUUCUCGGGGUGGCCAGGAAAAUUUUAAGAAUAAAAUUAAAAAAAACCUUCUAUCUAAGGGGGUCUACAAUAACACAUGAACUAAAUUUCAUUAAGAUCUAAAGAGAAAAAAAAAACUAAGACUAUUCUAUGAAACAAGUUAAGAAUUUUUUUUAAUAGAUUUCACACUAAGCAUCGCGAGUUUAAUGAUCUAUUAAAAUAAAUAAAAUUUGAUUGAAAUGCUGAAACAAAUAUUUUACAUGUUACUAAGGAGAUGUGACAAAACUAUUUAAGGCUAAAUAUUCCAAAACUCUAAAAUAUAUACACAUAUAAUGUACUUCAUUUAUUAUAUAUAUAUAUAUAUAUAUUUCAAAAAGAUGAUGUAUACAAUCCGCAAGAUAAUGACAACUUUUUCUAUAGGAUGGUUGAAAAUUUUGCAGUUAAUUUUUUAGUUUUUAUAUACCAUUUCAAUCCAAGAUAAAAAAAAUCACUUUCAAAUAAAAGAGGCAUAUGACAAUUAAACUUGAUGUGAUCCCAAGUUCCUUGAACAAAAGAGCAAUUUUUAAAAAUAUGAUUAAUAUUUUCAACAUUUUAAUUGCAUAGACGAUACAUGUUUAAGAAAAUCCAACCCAUUCUCUUUCUCGUUAUUGAGUUUUACCUUAAACUUCCAAAAUCUUCAGAAAUGUGUGACUAAUUCUUAUCUUCAAAAUGAUGGACAUAAUGUCGUUGGAAUUGUUGAAAAACAAAUUCAUUGGAUUCCUCCAAUUAAUGAAAUUUUCAAAUUUAAUUUUGAUGGUUCAAAGGUAUAGAAUAAAACCACAUUAGGAUGGGUUAUUGGAGAUUCUAAUGGAAUUAUAAAAAUGACUAUAAGUAGGCUUAUGGGUAAUACUUCAAUAAUUAUUACAAAAUGUAUGACGAUGAUGUGCUAGUUGCUAAGAACAAUCUUAAACCUAGAGAUUGAAGGUGACUAAAAAAUAGUGAUAGACGGUUAUAAUAAAAAGAGUAACACCUUAAUAUUUACAAUUGUCAUUAUAUUUAUAGAGAAACAAAUAAAACAAUAGAUUAUUUAGCUAUGAAGGGUGUUUUUAAUUUAGAAUCUAUCAUUUGAAGGUCAUAUUUUCAUAAAGAUGCUAUAAAGUUUGGUUUUGAAGAUUAUUGUGACUCAUCCUUCAAUCGAAUGUGUGGAUUAUCUAUUUCAUAGUUUCUUUCCAUUAAAAAAAAAAAGAAAAGAAAAAAAAAGAUGAUGUGAGCAUUACAAGUUAUUGGGACUUGUAUUUUAACCAAUCUAUUGUCACUAGAUUGUUUCGCCAUGCAUCUACUCAAGAGCUACUUGACAUUGUCAAUGAGGUAGAAUUGGGGAAUCGGUUUCUCCACUCAAGCACUCAUGUAGAUUUUGAUGUCAAUAUCAUUACUUAUAGUGAUCUUAUUCAUAUCUUUGAUGUAUCAACAAGUUAUCAUGAAAAACAAAUUGCAAUAAUAAGUACAAAACAUAGAAUUAGAAAAGAGAAUAGAUCACAAUUGAUGGGUUAUGCAGGUUGAGGUAGUUAAGGCAAAAACAAAAGUCUCUUUUGCCAAAGCAAAAAGAUGUAAAAAAACAAAAAAUUUGGAGGAAAAUAAUUUUAUUGCCAAUUUAGAUUUCUCUCUUAUGUGUGUCUCCUUAAAGAGAUUGAGAGUCUAUUUGGUGGUGUUUUUGAAAAACACUUUUAACUAAAAAGUGUUUUUGAAGAAAAAUAAGGUGUUUGGCAAAAUUUAAAAAAACACUUUUAAAAUUUCUAAAAAUCAUUUAUAAUGUUGAAAAAUCAUUUAUAGUAAAAAAAAUCACUUUUAGUAUUUUUUGGAGAAAUACGUAAUCUUCUAAAAACAUUUUUCGCUAAAACACUAUCAAAUGCAGUUUAAGCAAAUUAAUGAUAAUACUUAUAUGAAUAGUGGGAAAGUUUAAAGAUCGAAAUUAGAUAGAUUUUUAUUAACAUGUCCAUGGAUAGAAAGAAAGUUUGGUUAGCUAGAUGAUAGUAAUUCACAUGUUUAAUUAUAAUAUGUCAUUGUUUUCUAAAAUUAGUAAAAAAUUGUUUGUUUGUUCUCCAUCUUAAAAACAAUUUUUUAAAAAACAGCCACGGCCCUGAGGAAUCAAUUAAAUUGAUCCUCUCGACCAUCCAAGCCCACACGAAGCUAGGCCCAAAUAUUUGUGAGCCACGGAUGAACAUGAGUUCACUUAGGCCCAAUUUCCACCGCAAAGAUGAGAGAUUGUUGAACUGAAGGAUUGUAUAAUGAGAAAUUGUAAAGAAAAAGAAAAGAACUGAAAGGAACUUUUUCCCCAAAGAGAGGAGGUAAAUGACCUUUGAACUUCACUUUCCAUUUUAUUUUUAUUUUUUUUUGUCAUUUUGUUUUUUUUUUUUCCAUUUUUUUAAAUUUCUUUGUUAAUUUUCUCAUAUGGGACUGUAAUGCGAAUUUCUAGUUUUAGGUUCAUCUUGGUUGAAGCUCCCAAUUAAUCUUCCAUUAUUUGUUAUCAGUUACAGAUUACUGCAUAUUUACAAUGAGCUUAUAGAUAUGGCAGUUCCUGUUGCUUCCCCGUUGGGAUUUGUUUUGAAUAUUUUCAAUAUGAAACGAAGAAAGCGGAAAUGAAUGGUGUGGGUUUUGUGGAACUCUGCAAGAAACUUGGUGAAUGAGACAAUUUAGGAUCUGGGUAUCUCAAAUUGGGAGCUAGAAUGUGUGUCAUUUCUUAUGUUAAGUUUAUUUGGAACCCCUGUUGCUUAAUCCUAGAAUUUUUUUUCAUUUAAGUCUCUGGUGUUCUUGAUGUAGCCCAUGUGCUUGUUGAUUGUCUUAAAAGAGAGCCAUCACCUGUUACAUAACAUACAGAUUUGUACUCAUUAUGUAAUCGCAUCAAUGCUUGAUUAGUCAGUUGGAGAGAAGCUCAAUGGCUUUUUGUUUUUUGUCUUUUUUUUCUUUCUUUCUUGCCCUUUUCCUCUAGACUUAAUGGAAAAAAAAUGGCAUAACUUAAUGGUAAUGUGGUAUUUGAAAGAUGGACUUCUAAAGCGGAAUAAAUACUUCAACUCUCAUGGCCUAUCUCUUUUGGAUUCCACCUAGAUUGGGUAGAUAUUUGGCUUUUCUGUUCAUUGGAUUGUUUUAUACUUUUUAGAAUUUAGGAGACCUCGUAGUCCAUGGUAGUAUUGGCCAUUUUGUUACAAUUAUAGAUUGUGCAAUGAGUUGAAUCAUCCAACUUUGCUCAUUCAAGACAAGUUUUGUGUCAUGUAAUUUUAUAUGUAAGUGGUUUGGAGCAGAUAGGCUGCAUUUAGUUGCAUGGAAUAGGGGUCUUUGAAGUUGAAUUGGAGACCCUGACUUUAAUUGCAACAUUUAGAUGUAAUUCUUUUGGUAUCAUAGCCUAGUUUCCUUCUCAUGAUUCUUUCUGGCAGUUGGGUUUAUGAGUUAUGACUGAUUUUCAGUGCAAUAGCUGGGUGUAUGUUAAACCACAAGAUCCAAUAUUUCUUGCAGUUUCUUUUUUAUCAUUCAACUGUUUAGAAAUUACUAGUAGUUGUGCUAUCUUGUGUUCAAAUAUAUUAUCAUUUGAUUUGUGCUGCAGACUCUUGUUUAUUUUAAAGGUGCUGCAAUGCAUGAAAGAUAUACUCAUUAGUGAAUAUUGCUUCAAUGGAGCCUCCUGUAAGUAUUUUCACUCGCUUGUUCAUUGUUUUUUCUUCCAAUCUGUUUCAUGCUUCCGUCAGCUAAAAGACAUGGCAAUUGAAGAAUCUCCUCUUUGGUUCUUUUGAUUAUUGCCCACUUUCGUGUAACACUGUAAGAAUUACCUAACCACUAAAUUUUCAUUAACUGAAUUAUUGAAUAGUCACAGAUAGGGGUGCAACAAGCUGCAGUGAGCCAUUUAUUAUUCUGUUCAAGAUUUUUUUUUUUUUUGGCUGCAUCUGUAUCAAGCUCGAGUUUGAUGUGGAGUUCGACUAAGUUUGCUCAUUCACACGGACCAAACUUGAGCUUGAAUCGAGCUAGUUAAUUAAAUUAAUUUGCUAUUCAUCUUGUGUGCAAGUAAUUAUAUUCCUAAAAACAUGUUUUAAAUGCUUAUUCAGUUCCUAACCAUAGCAUAUUAGUAAUGCAAAUUUGUUUACUUUCUCAAAGUGUUUCCUUGGUUGUGUUGCCAAAAUUAGUCACCCACUACCUUGAGUUUUCAUGAGCCUAAUCAAACCAAGCUUGGAGUUGCCCUAGCCUGGCAUGUUAAGUGAUCAAACUUGCACCCUGAGCAUGAGUCUUAGUCAUUUAAUUUACAAACAACCUUGAUCAAGUUUUAGUUUCUUAAUGAUGCAAGCCUGAGUUUGUCAUGAGUUACUUGGUUUCUUCUAACUGUAAUUACUAGUACUUUGAUUCUUAUGGUCAGCAUUACUAACUUAUUUAGUAUAUAGCUACUUAUGAUUAGAUUGUAUUAGUUUUAUAUCUCACAGUCAAGAAAUUUUUGUUUUUAUUCCUUCCUGAACUAUUGCAUAACAGCUGCUUAGUAUGCUCUUUUCCCCUUGCACUCCUUGUUUCAUCAGAGUAAUGAAACAAGGGCUCCAAGCAGGAUUGGUGACCGACCCACAAGUGAUGUCGUGGUGAGACUAAGAACACAGGAAGGUCGAGAUGACUGGUUAUACUGUCACUCCCAUGUCCUUGUAGAGAAGAGCAAGUACUUUGCUGAUCGACUCUCUGAGAAUUGGCCCACAUGUCAGAUCCUAGAUUCUCGCAACUGCGUUGAGGUCUAUUGUCAAGAAUCUGACUUUGAUUACCAUGUCAAUGUUCUACGCCUGCUCUAUGUUGUUAUGGAUGGCUCUGUAGAUGACAUGUGGCAUGGUGUCAGAAAUGCCCUUAGCUGUCUACGAGUCGCGGUUGAGCUUGGUUGCCAGCAAAUUAUUACUGCUUGUGUGAACUACUUGGAAGCAGUACCUUGGGAAGAGGCUGAGGAGGACGAGAUUCUAAGAACCAUACCAGGCAUGGGAUCUCAAGUCGAGCCAAUUCUUGCCCGUCUUCAACCAGUCAAUUCAACAGCAAUAGUGGGCAUUUUUCUUUCAGCCAUUCGAUUUGCCACAUCAUCACCUCCUCCACAUAUGAAUGAUCUUAAGUCCUCAGCCCAAGAACAGCUUGAGUACAUGCUUACUGAAGAUGAUGAUGCCCCUCUACUGAUGGCUGAUGAUGAGAUAAAAUUUGAAGUAAGAGAAUGUGUGAUGGGACUAUUAGCCAGAUUCAACAAUCUAUUGGAAACUUUCUUUUGUGAGUCUGGAGAAUCAGUUACUAUGGCAGGAGAAAUGCUAUUAUUUCAAUCCUAUUUAUCAGAUAUGUCAUGGGCUUGUCAGAUUUUAGGUAAGUUGGAAAUAAUGAGGGAGUUUGUUAGCACUUGGACUGAUGCAUCAGAAAAGAUUGUGAAGGCUAUUGAGCUAGCAAGUUCAAAAGCUGAUGUGCUCGAGAUGAAGUUGAAGGUUAUUGAGGUGGCAUCAAAGGUUUUAGAGGCAAUAGGGUAUGGAACUGUUAUUUUUCCAGCUACAAAACGACUUCACAUGGUGAUGGUGUGGCUUCCAUUUGUGAGAGUCACAAAACGUUUGAUCGAUUCUAUCCCAACUAAUGGUGAUGAUGCUCUGACAUUCAAAUUGGAUGGUGAGCUUUGGCAGUCCUUGGAAUCUGCUUUUGUGUCAAUAAUUGUUGCAUUGCCUUCAGGGGAUCAGGCAGAGAUUUUGACUGAAUGGUUAGGGAAUGAGCAUAUCCGUUACCCAGACCUAACUGAGGCAUUUGAAGUAUGGUGUUACAGAUCAAAGGUUGCUAAGAGAAGGCUGGCAUUGUUAGGGGCCAUCCAUGGUGUGACAGAUGCAUUAUGACCCCUCAAUGGUAAAUCUUUUACGUCUUUGUUUCCCUUGGUUGCUCUUAACACUGUUUCCUUAAGGUGUUGAACAUUUGGAACAAUCCCUUUUGUACCAUAAACCAGAACAGGGUUUAAAAGGGAAAGUAAUAUGCAAAUGGAAAGGUGUCUUAAGCAGAGUCUAUCAAAAAAAAAGAAAGAAAGGUGUCUUAAGCAGUGGCCCGUAUCUUGAGCUCCUUGCUACAAAUUUCAAUGUCAUUGCAAGCUUGUAAAUCUUGUGAUGUCAUUCUGAUUGUAAAUUUUGUGAUACGAAGGUGUUUGAUUUUGGAUAGUAAUUUGAAAUUUCAAAUUGUACAAUCUCCUGAAUAUUUUGUUUAGUUCAACUUAAAACUUUUCAAUUUAAUGUGCAUUAUCUGAGAAGGGCUUAUGGUAAAACUUUUUGAAUGUAUGGAAAUGUUUGCUUUGUCUGGACUCAUUGCUCAGCUGCCUAAACAAAUUUUGACAGAUUUUUUGUUGUGUCUGAUUUAAUUCCUCGUAAGAAAAAAUCCAGCUGUUUUUAUAAAUUAUACCUGAAACUUGUUUUGAGAAAAUUGUGGACAUGCACUUAGUUGACUUGAGAGGUUUCUGUAGAACUGCAUAUAAUUGCUAUUACUUGUUUCAAUUUUAAGAAAGGUUGGAUCAGGUGAUUAGUUAUUCCCUUUUGAAAGGUUCUAGGUACUGGCAGAUUUAUGAUCUAUGAUCCCCAUGGUCAUGUGGUCUUGGAACAUCUCAGUCAGACACUAAAAAGUCUAGCUGCUAGCCAAGUCUUACUAUAUGUCCAUUUAGGUUACCCGUUUUAUCAGAUUAUAAAAAAAUGCAGGGUUGCCAAUUAACUGGCUGAACUGUCCAAGACCUAAGUUAGCAUACUCUUCUGCUCUGGAUCCUUCGUUGUUUUUGUUUUUGUUAUUUUUCAUUUUUCACAUAAGCCCAACUUGGUCCAGACAACGAUGUUUGUGUUGGGGAUGCAAGUCUGAACAUGACAAGUAGAGUAGGCAGCACUAUUGUCUCAAACCCAGUUUUCCCCCCACCCCUAGAUGGAGACUUGGUUGGAAAAUAAGCAGCAUUGAGUUGUACAAGAAGAAGAGAGAAGAAUACUCGAUUGAACAUUGGCAGAAUCAUGUUCAAAGGUCAGGAUCCUACAAUCUGCAUUCUUAGCUUCUGAAGUUUAUUUCUGAACUUUUUUGGGAAUGCAGGAACAAGUGAAGAUAGUGUUUAAGCUUCCUCAGAGACUAGAAUCCAGGUGAGUGGUACAACCUCCAUAAAAGACUUGUUAGGUUUUGACAUUUUCACACUGCACUAAUAUUGUCUUCUAGUUUUCCAUUUAUUUACCCUGUCAGUUGUUGAGUUCAACUACUCUAUGGACCUAAACUAGUUCAAUUAUUAGAUUAUCAUGACUAGUACCUGAAAGGACCUAGAUUUUACAGGACUACCUUUUCAAGACAGGGCCAUUUACCGUGAUUGAUACUGGUGGUUGAGCAAGCUGACUUUUGCACAUUUAUUUUUUGAACGUAUGUGAACUACAUCAAAUGCAGGGCAAAUAAAACAGGGACUAACAAGAAGCCAAGUGAAUAUAUAUAUAUACAUUCAUAUAGAUGGACAAAAGUAAAGCAAAGCUAGCUAGGUCAUGGGGACAAUAUCAACUGAAGCUUGAGAAGGAUGAUGGAAUCAGUACGUUUAUCACCUAGAAAAGGCUUAGCAACAAGCAUUGCAGAAACCCUAAAGACCAACCUAGUCAUGGUCAGGUUGCACCUCUGAUUUCAGGGCCUGUAACCACUGGGCCGAUCCAAGCCCACCCUGAUUAAUCUUUGAGUUCAUGGGAGGAGCCUGAAGCUGCUGCAGCCCAAGAAGCAGGGUGGCUUUGUUUAUUUGUUUGUUGUUGGGUGUGUGUGGGUGAUUUUUUUUUUUUUUUUUUUUUUUUUUUUUUGUGGGGUCUGAGAUAUAGAUAACUUAUUAAAAUCAAGUUCGGGAAAACUGGGGAAAAAAAAAUUAAAUUGAAAAUUCAAAAAUAAAUUAUAUGAACCAACAUCAUCACCAGCCAGGGGUAGGGUCCUCACCAUGGUGGUUAGAGUCAAUGGAUGACUUUAGCUGAAAUAAUAGAAAAAGCAAGUGCAAGUUGGAAAAUUGUCUGUAUUAUUAAUGGUAUCCUUUCCAUAGAAGCAAUCUUCAAAAAAUAAUAAUAAUAAAAAUGAUGAAUUUGAAGUAUAUUUUAUUAUUUCCCAUAAGCUUUAUCUCAAGUUAAUUAUCCCUUUGUUUUUGUAUUUUUACAAGGGGGACUAUUUUUCUUGCCUUUUGUCCUAUGCUUGUGGACUUUCUUGUGUUACAUGAUUUUCAAAACUCUCAAGCAAAAAUUUCUCCCAUGGGGUCCUCAUUUCAUUUGCCUUGAUGUGCUCUACAAGAUUAUGUUUGCUUCAACUGUUGCCCACAACAUCUAGAUGUGGAGUCUCUAUUCAAUGUGUAUCAAACAAACAUUCAAAAUGAUUCAUCAUCUAAGAUAUGAAAGUGAUAUUACAGGUCCCCUACUGAGUCUGAUAGCACCAAAUGAUGUUUGCCAACUUUUUCCCUCAUUUCAAUGCAUUUUUCAUGUGCUUCAUGCACAUCAUGUAUUCUACUUUCUCUCUCAUUUUGGAGUGCUCACAGGUUUGUUUCCUAAAAUCAUCCAUGGAAGUGAGUUUCCCAGAAAUUGCCUUUCAUCAAGGAAACCAGGGCUCUCAGGAGCCUUGCAGCUAUUUGUUUACUUCUUUCUUCAGGUGGAAUGAUUGCAUGUAGCCUAAUCUUCAAGGAUUUUGACUAUUCUGAAAGUAUUAUUAUCAUUAAGACUUGAUUAAAAUGAAUUGUUUAUUAUCUCCUCUUAAGGUAACAACAAAAUAUCUCUAGGUUGUUGUGAUGAACUUUGGUGUAUUUUCAAUGCAAAAUCAUGAUAUGGCUGCAUAGAACUCAAAUCUAUGGCAUCUACAACCAAUUCCAUAUUUUAAUUGAUCUUACUAAUUGGGAUUUUGAAUCUUUGAUCAUUCUAGUAUCCUCAGUGUCUUCAUUUUCAUGCUACUUAAUGAUGCUGCUUCUGGUUGGUAUGAAAUUCAAUUCUCUAUAAACCCCUCUUAACAGUUAGAGAAAAAGGUUAUACAUGCCCUGUAGCAGUUGGUGUUUGAAAAUUUGAAUGCCUUAAAAAUCUUCAUCAUCAUUCACAGUGAUUAAGUCCAUGUAUGAGAGACAGAGUAGCUAAUGUGUUCCUUGCUUUAUUCAUUUCUAUCGGCAUGAAAUUCACCAGAAUUCAAGAUGUAUACCUACUACUUACUCAUAUUUGAGUGGGAAUAUUGAAAAUUUCCUGCCAAACUGGUCUGGGAUUCAACAUAAAAUCAUAAACCAUACACCAGGAACUUGACUACAAAGCAAGAAUAGAUAUGGUAUUCGAGAUUCUACAAUAGUGUAUGAGCAUUCCCUUGAAAUCUUAAGAAGCAAAACUAGAGUUUUGUUUGCAGUUAUAGAUGGAAAGCAGCAGAAAGUCUUCCUAGCAGAGAGCAUGAAAGAUAGGAGGCUGAAAGUGAUGAAGAAGGCUCCAAGUUCGCCAAUGCAGGGUCGGAGAAAAGGAAUUGAACCACAAAAACGAAGCAUGUUUUUUUGUUUUUUUCCCAGAGACUCCCAACAAACCCUUAGAGAAACCAGGAAUAGCAACCAAAUGAGUGUUUACUAUUCCUACUUUUGCUUCGUUCAUGGAACACCUUCACAUGAAUAUAUAUAUAUAUAUAUAUAUAUAUAUAUAUAUAUAUCUGUAAUACCCAAAUAACUAAAAUUUCAUAUCCAUCUCCAAAACUUACAAAAAUAAUAUACAAUCCCCAACCAUAUGUUAUCAAAUCCUAAUCUGUCUAGGAACUCAAAUGGUUCUCUGCAAAGUAUAAACCUGUACUAAAGUAAAUUUUCUUCUUUCUUUACACUACCCUGCACUUUCCUUGUUCCCUGGUUAUAGAGGGAAUUGGAAGAAUAUAUUAGAAGGGGCCUUGAUGCUGAGACCGCUCCUCUUGCAGUGUCUUGCUUUUAACUGAUCAGGCCACAGUCAGGCAACAACUGGGCUGCAAACCUCUUCCCGUUCUGCAUGUUGAUGUUCUCGUAUGCAGCUGUAGAGUGAGGUGUGGUAGUGUUGAUAGUGCCAUACUCGUUUGGUUCACCCAUGUCUACUCUUCUUCCCAAUUGAAUGUUUUGGUUUGGGAGGAAAGUUUGAUGGGUUCCUGAUAAGGAGAGGUUUUCACAGUGUGGGAGACCAAGGGUGAGAGAAACACCAUUGCCUGAAAACCUUGGAGUGAACUGCUCGGCAUCAAACCGUCCAAUUUCCCCAAGUGAGUACGACUCGAAUCCUCCAAUGAAGUUUGUUGGGCCUGCCAUUAGCGGAUAGCCAUCUCUGCCCUGCCUCUCAUUGCUGAAC